rnacentral:rRNA from 1 species
AGAAUCAACGCUGGCGGCGUGCCUAACACAUGCAAGUCGAACGCGAAAGGGGAGCAAUCCCUGAUUAGAGUGGCAAACGGGUGAGUAACACGUGGGUGACCUGCCUUCGAGUGGGGGAUAACCGUUCCGAAAGGAGGGCUAAUACCGCAUGACAUACCGUGUUUGGAUACAUGGAUAUCAAAGCCGGGAUCGCAAGACCUGGCGCUUGGAGAGGGGCCCGCGUCCGAUUAGCUAGUUGGUGAGGUAACGGCUCACCAAGGCUCCGAUCGGUA